rnacentral:rRNA from 1 species
CAGCCGCCGCGGCAAUACAGAGGGUGCGAGCGUUAAUCGGAUUUACUGGGCGUAAAGCGUGCGUAGGCGGCUUUUUAAGUCGGAUGUGAAAUCCCUGAGCUUAACUUAGGAAUUGCAUUCGAUACUGGGAAGCUAGAGUAUGGGAGAGGAUGGUAGAAUUCCAGGUGUAGCGGUGAAAUGCGUAGAGAUCUGGAGGAAUACCGAUGGCGAAGGCAGCCAUCUGGCCUAAUACUGACGCUGAGGUACGAAAGCAUGGGGAGCAAACAGGAUUAGAUACCCCUGUAGUCCCUGUCUCUUAUAC